rnacentral:rRNA from 1 species
UACAUAGGUGGCAAGCGUUAUCCGGAUUUAUUGGGCGUAAAGGGUGCGUAGGCGGUAAUAUAAGUCUAAGGUUAAAGAUCGAAGCUCAACUUCGAUUUGCCUUGGAAACUGUAUAACUAGAGUACAGGAGAGGUUAGUGGAAUUCCAUGUGUAGCGGUGAAAUGCGUAGAUAUAUGGAGGAACACCAGUGGCGAAGGCGACUAACUGGCCUGUAACUGACGCUGAGGCACGAAAGCAGGAGUAUCAAAUAGG